AUGGCCGCGCCGCCGCCGCCGACCAUUCCCGACGAGCUCCUGGAGGAGAUCUUCAUCCGCUUGCCCACCCCGGACGCGCUCGCCCGCGCCUCCGCCGCCUGCACCUCCUUCCGCCGGGUCAUCAAAGGCCGCGCCUUUCGCCGCCGCUUCCGCACGCUGCAUCGCCCUCCCUUCCUCGGCUUCAUGGACGCGGGCGGAUUCCACCCCGCCCAGGCGCCGCACCCCUCCGCCCCGCUCGCCGGCGCCCUCGCCCCCUCCGCCGCCGAUUUCUCCUUCGUCCCGGCCGUCGUCUCUUCGUCCUCGCCGCCGGGCGUCCAAGACGACGGGGAAGGCCCCCGCUGGCGCCCCUGCGACGUCCGCGACGGCCGCGUCCUCCUAGACUGGAGAUCCCUCUACCCUGUUACAUCCAAAUGUGGACCUACCGCGAAGACGGAGAUUGGUGAUAACGAACUCUGUGACCGCCUCACGUGGACCAAACGGGAGCACUGCAAUGCUGCCGACUUCCACCUCGCCGUCUGUGACCCCCUGUCCAGCAGAUACGUGCUGCUUCCAACCAUACCUGAGGACCUCGCCGCCCAGCCGCAGGAGUGCCUUUGGGAUUUCCAGGCCGUGCUUGCUCCCAACACCACCGACGACGGCGAGGAACAGCCCUUCAAGGUGAUAUGCGUAGCAAGAUACACGACGAAGCUUGUCCUCUUUGUGCUCCCGUCCACAACUAUGCAGUGGUAUAUGCUCGAGCCUCCCAUUUUCCCUUCUUUGGAACACAUGUCAUGUUUUGACUGCGUGCGUGGCUGCUUCAACUGGACACAGCCUGCUGGCUGGAGUGACCAUUUGAUGGUGCUGGACACGCGCACCAUGAGGUUUUCCACUGUCGACCUUCUCACCGGCUGCCAUGUGGAGCUCAGCAAUCUGCCUGACAAGAGCCGUGGCCGUCGUAGCCUAAAUGCCGUUGUGAUGGGCAGGGGAGGAGCCCUUGAGAUAUUUCCCCUUGUCUGUCAACAUGGAUCCUUUGCCAUCUACCAUACCUCUCUAAAGAAUAAUUCGCAGCAAUGGAAGUUAGAGAAGAUCAUACAGCUUCCUGGGCAGUAUCAUUCCAUUUGUACAAUGCGUGCAGCCGAGGGAUUCUUGUUCUUCCGAGGCGCUCCAGAAGGUAUUCAUUUUGCGAAUGUGGAUUGUUACUCAAUGGAGGUCAAGACUUAUGAAAUUACCAAAGUCUGCACAAAGAUGGAGAAUACCUUCAAUCCCAGACGUGCCCUCCCAUACUUUAGCUUCCCACCGCUGUUAUCAGAACCAACUAUCUGA
rnacentral:rRNA from 1 species